AGCUGACCCUCUUCGUCUGUCUCCUACGCCCCAGUCCCCUGUACCUUCCACCACUCCACCUCCGACAACUCAGGCUAACACCCCAUCAUCACCACCACCACCUCUCAGCCUUCCACUGUGCUCACUCUCUUCCCAAUGCUGGUGCUUGGAAGUUAAGGACAAAAUUUCAGCCCUCAAAGAACCCCAUGUAAUGGAGGAGACGGAUGAACAAACGAGUGACAGGGAAGUGGGAGAAGCUAGCACAGAAUGCUGGGGGAGGAGAAGGUUGACUCCCAGCUCUGAUCAAGUCUUAAAGCAUGAAGACUUCUACCAGAAACUUGGAGAGGACAUUCCAAGCAGAGGGAACAGCAAGUGCAAAGAAGAGGGUUCGGCGUGGGUGUUGGAGAAGGCAUUCAGGAUACUGCAGGCACUUCUGUGCUUCUGAAACCAAUGGCAGAUCACACUGACUCUGCUGGUGCUGGUUUGACUGAAUAACUUGACCUUCUGGGACAUCUCUACCAUAUGAGCAGCUCUGAGGCUUGUAGCUGUGCUGAGAAACAGGUAAAGUGAAGUGCCCAAGGGCCUAACAUUCAUCCCUCAUGUCUGCACAUCUACAUCCUCAAACAUAAGGACAAAUAAGAUGAUUCUGGAAAAAAAUAAUGAAUAGAAAAUACUUCUUUUACACCAGGACCGCACACUCAUGCUUUGCCAUUGAUCAUCCACUAGGCAUCAGUAACGGAAGCAUGAUUUCUAUGCCUUUAUGCCAUUGCAAUAGAAUCAUACUUCUUCCUUUCUUUUCUUUGUAACUAUGGACAAAUGACAUGACCUUGUUACACUCAUAUAAUGGGCAUAACUCAUAGAAACUCACCCAGUGUGGGAAACUGAGAUUAAAGUCCUCGCUCCAACGUGAAUUGGGGAAACCACAAGAGUCAACAUAGCUCAUGCCUGCUCAGUUGGCAGAACCAUGUUCAAAUGGCCUUUCACGUGCUCUCCCGCCUCUGCUUGUUGGCAAGUUAAAAAAUGCCUCGGAUGAAUCAGCUGACUUUUCACUAUAGCUAUUAACAUUGGCUAGGCAAUUCCUUUGAGAAGCCUAGGUCUGACAUUUUCACAUGUCAGUUUGAUAAGGUGUUAGGUGAAAACUUGGGAACUUCUCUGCUCAGUUGGAAUAAACAUGUGUUAUGAAGUGAAUUACUAGAGAAGAAAAUCAUUUUUUUUUUUUUAAAGAUUUUA